CUAAGGUCUCAAGCAUGGAAUGGCUACUUGACAACAGGACAUGGGAUUACAAAAACAUCUGUUCACUCCUGCCACACUGACGCUCACAACUGAACAUGAAGAAGCUUCUUUAGAGUGGCUUUUUGGACAAUUAACUAGUGUGUCAAGCAUUCUACUGAAGUGUCGGGUGUUACGUUAUUGACGCUCAAACACUAGAAACUUUGGUUUAUUUAUUUAUUUUCCCACAUCCAAAACCUGCGCAAUUCGUUUCCUUCUCUUCAAAGUGGUCUUGAUUUUCUCGCCGAUGUACACCUGAAGAUCCUUGGUCCCCCGAGGGCUCCAGCCAGGACUCCAGACUCCGUGUCUCUCACCAGCUCCUUUUAUGACUUCUGCCUUGUCUGCGAGGCUCUUGGUGUCUGGAUAAAAAAGAAAAAGAAAUAUUCAAACAAACAGGUUAACACCCAAAUAUGUAUACAUUUAGCCUCAGCGUACAAGGGAAAGGAAAAUGUAAACAUACGAGUAAUGUUCAGCCUGUCCAUUGGAGUCCUGUAAGUUUCUCCUGUCGUGUGUGCCUCAGUCUCAUGUAGGGCCUUAUUUUGGCAGAAAGUUCAGGUUCCAGAUCGUCUGGAGACUGGGCCAGCUUGCGCUUGUGCAUAGCGGGGGGCUGUCUCUGAAGUCCCGAGGAACCGGCCUGGGCGAGAGGUAAACUCUGAAGGUCCAGGGAGAUCUCAGUGUCGCGUCCCACAUCCAAAACCUGGGUGGAGGAAAGUGCUCCAUCUCGUUCUGGGUUCUGGUCAGAGCUGGAUUCAAAGGACGUUGUUGUGGUCAACACCGCAAGCUGACUCGGGCCGAUCUGAGAUGGAGAGGUUGCACUCUGAUGUCGGAGGCUUCCCGUGAAGGCAUCUGUGGUUGGUCCUCCUCAGCAGUUGGCCAGGGUGGAUUGACCACCAUUCCUGACUGUGGCUCUGGUAGUGGCAUAGGCUUCUCCGGCUUUCUCUUGACAAACCUGUUGGCAAACAUUGAAGGGAGAAAUUAAGGUAAGACGUCUGUAAUGGCCUGUCAUUAAAAUCAACCCCAUGAACCACUGACUAGAAUACUUGCUUUUCUCGUAGUCGUUUAACAUCUGUUGUUGGGUUACAAGGAGGAAGUCCUGAAGCUCCCAGGAAGAACCGGUCCCUGGCGUCUUCCUCCACUGGUUAAGAAUUUAAAUAUUCUGGCCUGAUGUGCUUGAAGUAGCACUCCAACCACUACAGCAGAUUUGUACAUAUUUUACAAGUGUUAGCUGUGACAAAGAUCGAUAAUGAACUAAUAGUUUGCUGUGUGUGUGUGUGUGUGUGUGUGUGUGUGUGUGUAGAGGAUCAUCUUACAUGUUCUUCUUUUCUGUUCAACUUUAUAAUUCCUUUGGAUAGCUUUACACGACUACAUCUCCAUUUGUCACCCUGUCGUUCCAUUGCUGGACCUGUGCAAACAUUCAGACAAGAAUGACAAGGACCCAGGUGAUGGACCCACAUCAUUGUGGUGAGACAGAAGCUCCGGAAGUCUGUCUUGGUCUUCGGAGGGACCCCUUUAUCUUGGCAGAGACGGUUGGACACCUCACCCAUUUCCUCCUCUGUGAGAGCCAGAAUUUCAGACUCCAGGAUGGCAGCGCUAGGAAACGAAGGGACCAUUACUAGGACAAACACACCCUUGUAUAGUCUAUUACGACCAUCAGAAGUGACAGUGACACUUUAAUUAUUUAUAUAGUAAUUGCAUGUACUAAAUCAAUAUUACUCAGUACUUCAAAGUACAAUUACACUGUGGAAAUGACAAUAAAAUGUAACCGAAAUGACUCUCAAUGCCUAGUUACCUCUCCAUGCACAGACCACCCUACCUGUCAUGCUCUUCUUUGAUGAGGAAUCCCUUUGCCUGAAAGUACUCUGCCAAGGAGUCACAAGAUGGGUCUUCCCUGACCAACUUCCUGACCUCAGAAAAAAUAAUAAUCCUCCCCUCUCUUGUCCACUUCUCUUGUGACUCCUUGGCCCUCGAAAUUUCUUCCUGGAUCCAUCCAUCCUCCGCCCCCAGUAAGCACAUAUUUUUUAGAUGUUGUUCAAUUUUGGUCUGGGGCUUAUGACA